UACGUAGGGGGCAAGCGUUGUCCGGAUUUACUGGGCGUAAAGAGCGCGUAGGCGGAAGCUUAAGUGUGGCCUGAAAGCCCCCGGCUCAACCGGGGAAGGUGGCUGCAAACUGGGCUUCUUGAGGGCGAUAGAGGAGGGUGGAAUUCCUGGUGUAGCGGUGAAAUGCGUAGAUAUCAGGAGGAACACCUAUUGCGAAGGCAGCUCGCUGGGACGUAACUGACGCUGAGACGCGAAAGCGUGGGGAGCAAACAGG
rnacentral:rRNA from 1 species